rnacentral:rRNA from 1 species
GACGAACGCUGGCGGCGUGCUUAACACAUGCAAGUCGAACGGUAAGGCCCUUCGGGGUACACGAGUGGCGAACGGGUGAGUAACACGUGGGUGAUCUGCCCUGCACUUCGGGAUAAGCCUGGGAAACUGGGUCUAAUACCGGAUAGGACCACUGCCUGCAUGGGGGGUGGUGGAAAGCUUUUGCGGUGUGGGAUGGGCCCGCGGCCUAGCAGCUUGUUGGUGGGGUGAUGGCCUACCAAGGCGACGACGGGUAGCCGGCCUGAGAGGGUGACCGGCCACACUGGGACUGAGAUACGGCCCAGACUCCUACGGGAGGCAGCAGUGGGGAAUAUUGCGCAAUGGGCGGAAGCCUGACGCAGCGACGCCGCGUGGGGGAUGACGGCCUUCGGGUUGUAAACCUCUUUCAGCAGGGACGAAGCCGUGAGGUGACGGUGCCUGCAGAAGAAGCACCGGCCAACUACGUGCCAGCCGCCGCGGUAA